rnacentral:rRNA from 1 species
AUAUGCUUGUCCCAAAGAUUAAGCCAUGCAUGCCAUGAUUCCUUAAUAAAUCUGCGAAUAGCUCCGUAUAUCUGUUGUAACCAGUAAAGCCCCUCUGCGCCCUGUCCGGGCAUGCUCGGAUAGACGCGGUAAUUCUGCUUGUAAUACGUGUGAAACCGCCGCGCGGGGAGCGCUCACCCCUCGCGGGUGACUGCCCCCGUUGGACCGGCUGGCGUCCCGAGGACACCGAUCUUGCCGCUAGGCAGGGAUGGAGUUCCAGGGACAGCGCCAAAGAAUGCCCUCGAGGCACUUCUAGGCUAUGGGCUUCAGACCUAUCAACUGUUGGAGGCUGGGUAAGGUCCAGCCUCGGUUGCGACGGGUACAGAGGAUCAGGGUUCGGUCCUGGAGAGGUAGCCUGAGAGAUAGCUACUACUUCUAAGGAAGGCAGCAGGCGCGCAACGUUCCCAAUGGUUUGCCACCCAGUGGCCGAGGACGUUAAGGGACAUAACAAUGCCCUGCCUGAUAAAGGCGGGGUAAUUGUAAUGGGGACGUUUUAAACCCCCUACCGAGUAGCAAUUGGAGGACAAGUCUGGUGCCAGCACCCGCGGUAAUUCCAGCUCCAAUAGCAUCUAAUUGAGUUGUUGCAGUUAAAACGCUCGUAGUCUGAAUCGGCCGCACUGCCCCGUCGAGUAGGCCUUUCUCGGGGUGGACGCCCGGCGUAAGCCGGCUCCUCCCGGGCUUGGAUUCCAAAGGCGGGUGUCGGAGGCGGCCAUAAUGGCCGGGGAUCGGCGUAUCCCGCUCGCCCUCGUGGUUUGAGCGGUGGGGCUACCCCCGGUCGUUUUACUUUGAGGAAAUGUGAGCGCUCCAAGCAGCCCCGUUCGGGGCCUGAAGCCUGCAGCAAAGAAUAAUGUAACACGGCCUUUCAAAAACCGUGGUGUAUUGGUGCACCGCAAGGCAAUGGUCAAUAGGGGGGAUCGGGGCCGGCCUCAUGGCGGGGGUAGGGGUGAAAUCCGUUGAUCCUCGCCAGGAGAACAAGAGCGAAAGCAGCCGGCAAGUACCCUUUCUUUGAUCAAGAACGAAAGUCUGGGGAUCGAAGAUGAUCAGAUACCAUCGUAGUCCAGACCCUAAAUGUUGCCGACCAUGGAUGGGCGCAAGUCCGUCCCGACCCUGCCCGCACCUUGUGAGAAAUCAUCAAGUGUUUGGGCUCCGGGGGGAGUAUGGUCGCAAGACUGAAACUUAAAGGAAUUGACGGAAGAGCACACAAGGAGUGGAGCCUGCGGCCUAAUUUGACUCAACACGGGGAAACUCACGAGUGCAAGAGAGGGUCAUGAUGCCCGGCACGAAUUGCCUGGCAGAUUCUCUCAGUGGUGGUGCAUGGUCGUUCUUAGUUCGUGGAGUGAUUUGUCUGGUCUAUUCCGCUAACGAGCGAGAACCCGCCUUAUGGAUGUUGCCUGGCUCGUCGCGGGGCUGCUGCGGCUGGGCUGUCCCUAUUGGUCCCGCAAGGGGUCUCUAAGGGGGCGGGCUAGCGGGCGUCCCAAUUAUAGACGGGGUCUGGGUCCUGCAUGGUGCCCCGGCGAUAAGCCGGGGAUCUGGGUCAAUAACAGGUCAGUGAUGCCCUUAGAUGCACUCGGCUGCACGCGCGCUACAAUGGGAGGGCCAACGGGUCUUCAGCCCCUACGCGGGCGCGGAGAAUCCUAGUAACCCCGCCCACAUCCGGGAUCGCAGCAUGUAAUAUGCGGCGUGAACAUGGAAUUUCUAGUAGGCACGGUUCACCAGACCGUGCCGAUUC